UGAGUGGUGUUUGGUUUGUUACGGGUGGUUGGCUCUUUGCUUGCGCAACAACUUCUACCUGGCAUACCUCUUCAGUCUUGUGUCAAUGCUUGUAUUGCAUUGAAUGCACGGUGGGUUUCUUGUGUUGCAUGCCUAAUUUAAUGGUAUUGCUUGAUGUAUUGGUUUUCCUUUCGUUUUGCAUUGCCUAUGCGAUGUGAGAUGAACCUUGAAGCAGCCUUUGUGAUCCACUGAUUUGAUGUAUAUGCAUUGAUUUUGUGGCCCAUUGAGUGUUGCUCGGUCUCAUGGAUAUGGAACCUGGUGUGGGCAUGGAAUCUUAAUGGUUCCUUGUUUGCCCAAGUUUAGCUUUUCUAAAACGAUUGUCUAUCAUGUGUUAACAUGCUAGACUACUUCGGAUAUGAAUGCUACCUGGUUGAUCCUGCCAGUAGUCAUAUGCUUGUCUCAAAGAU
rnacentral:misc_RNA from 1 species